GUUUUCUCUUUUAGAAAUCUGCUCUGUCUCUGUCAAUCAGGUUAGCGAUGAUGAUAACUCCACUGGAUAUGAUAACAGUCAUCCAGCAAGUGAAAUCCUACAAAAGAAAUCCUACACCUGAUUCACUGCACUUACUGAAUGUUUACUUGAUAGACAUUAUAAUCUCACCCUUCUUCACUGCCAGUCCAGACAAUGACUUGUAAGGCUGGACAGUCCCACUCUUGUGAAGACAGUCAUUUAUUUCCUAGGCACGGCUUUGAAUGUGGCCCUACAGCUCAUGCAUUAGAAACCAUGUGUAACUUUACUGCAAUACCAAUCAAGGACCUCCAGAACUACACUGACUCCUCAAGGUGUAUGCAUCAAUCACGGAUCUGCUACCUCCAAUAAGACGAUGGGUACCUGUGUGCAAAGGAUUCCAACCCCACUUAGGAAAUAAUUGUUGUACUAAUGUACAUCACUGUUGCAGUCAGCCUAGGUAGUUACUGUGAGUUCCCACUAAGAAGUCAAUAAAAUUGUAUGAUUAGCCCUGCUAAGAAUAGGUGGGACAUUUGAAUAAAUCAUAGAAAUGUAUUACUAUUUUGGAUGCCAUGCUUCUCCAGUGAAUACAUUUUGAGUAUUGUUUGAUGGAAUAAGAUGUGGAAAGGGAAGUAGCAAAAGUGACUCUCAGGAUUACACAGAGGUGGAAAAGGAGACCCCAGGCAUGGCCUAGAAACAAGUCAACCAGUGUGAUACAAUGUAAUACCAACGUGUAUAUUAUUACCUAGCUUUAGAUGAUGGUUGUUUGAGCAUAUCUGAUUAGAAUUGGGGUGGUGAGUUACAGGUUCCAG
rnacentral:lncRNA from 1 species